rnacentral:lncRNA from 1 species
GGUGGAAAUAUUAUUUUUAAACAGCCAUUUACUCUGAAAAAAUAUGAUUUUGCAUUAAAUUAGUUUUAAAGUUAAGGGAUAUAUAUAAGACCUUUUUAUUAACAAGUUGAUGAGAUGAGCAUUAGUAUACCUAUAGGAAGUUUUUGAAUGAGUGCCAAUUCUGAAUUUACAAAUCAACAUUUCUUCUCUCCAGCUUUCUUUAGCUUGCCCAUGGUGAUGUGAAGAUGAGAAGAAAUAGCAAGGCCCAACCAGUUCUUCAUCUGGAGACAGUUCAACGUUCUGCAAACCAGAUCUUCAGGAAUUUUACUGGGAUAAUUAUCCAAAUAAAUUGCAAGCAUUCUAUCCAAAUGGAGCUCUUUCUGAGAUGAAGAGAAUUCUCAAUGUCAAGAUUUGAACAAGAAGAGAAUGGAAUACACAAUAUGGACAUCCAUAAAAAUUCAUCAGAGAGCAUUUUACUACUGAGCUGCAAAGGGAAAAACUUAAAAUGGAUAUGAAAAGUGAAGAAAGUGAUCAUAGGAGAAAACCAUUUCAGAUGACAAGAGCACCUCAAAGGCAGCAGCCUCAAGGAGCAGCCAUGGCCCCAGACUUGUCGCACGGAUGCAGAAAACUUAAUGGAGGAGGCUGAGGUCAGAAUGGGAAGAGUUUUUAAAAAAUAAAAAGGGGAGCUAAUAUGUGAGGAACUGAUUGCUGUGCAUUAUUUUCCACUGAACAGACCUUCUUUUAACUUCUAAUCUCAAGCACAUAGCAGCUGUUGUUUUCAUAUUAAAGAUCAGUAAGUGUUUGUUGAAUGAAUGUAUAAAUUCUUCCCCAAUCUCUGUUCCAUGUAAUAAGAACUAAGUUAGCAUUCAAUUAUAAAGAGGACUUAGAAAGUCUGCAGACAUUUUUGAUCAAAAAUCCUUUUAACUGUCUUCUUAUGGUUCCCGGUAACACCUAAGCCCAAAAAACUCAGGUCAUUUCUUGCCUGUACUGUUGCAAUAGCCUCAUAAUAACUAGUCUUCUCCUUUAUCAACCACAGUCGUCUCCGCUACACAAAGAAGAGAGGGUGCUAAUCUAAAGUGUAAAUUAUUUUAAAUCAGCACCCUUCUUGUAAUUUCCCAGUGGUUUUUCCUGUCAUAAGAAUAACAUGCAAAAUUCCUUGCUUGCAAAGCCAGGUAUGACCUUGCCCCGUCUACCUUACUGGCAUCGUCUCUCAUGACUCUUCCCCUUUUUCACUCUCCAUCUUGCCUUUUCCCAACCAUGCCUGCUAGUGAGCCUUAGCCCUUGUGUUUUCUCUGCCAGGGAUGCAUGACUGGCUUCUUUACUUUAUUCUGAUCUCUCUGCUCAAAUGUCAUCUUUUUAGAGAUAGCUUUCCUAAACAUCUUUAAAAGUACCCCAUGAACUGUGAAACACCUUUCCUGCUUUUUCUUCAUAGUACUUAUCACUUCCUGAUAUUAUGUUAGACAACAAGCAAAUAAGUAUAUGCUGUUCCCACUAAAAUAUAAGCUCCAUUUGAACAGGAGCCUUGAUUAUUCCUGAGUAUACCCCUAGUGCCCAGAACCUAGUAGGGCUUUAAUAAAUAUUAGAUUCAUUUGUUGAAUGAAAAAAUGAAUGAAUAAUUGAAUAAAGAUAUCCAGGUAGAGUGUCCGGGCAGCCCAACCUAUGUGAAGCCAGUACAAGAAUGUUUCUGUGACAUAGUGAGCGCAAUUAUUCCUCUAAAUGAUGAACUUGCAUGAGUACACAAGGAUAAAAUUAAGCACGUAGUUUAGAUUUCUGCAAGUCUCUUCCUCAGAUUGAGGAAAAACAAAGAAAUUGAGCUUAUUCUCACCUCAUUCUUACAUGAACUAAAUCCAGAAUAAAGCAUCAUUUAAAUACCAAGCACAUCCCUACCUCAGCCACUCAUGGAAUACUUUAUCUGUAAAGGGACAGAUAGAUAGUAAAUAUUUUUGGCUUUGGGGACCGUACAGUCUGUGUCGCCACUACUCAGCACUUCUGUUGAGGUGUGGAAUCAGCCCUAGACAACACAUAAACAAAUGGGUGUGGCUGUGUUCCAAUAAAAUGUUAUUUAUAAAACUAGGAAAUCAGCAGAUUUAGUCCACAGGCUGUAGUUUGCUGACCCUUGAAUUAGAGAGUCUUCCCCAAAUCCUCUUCCCAAGUUAUUGAAAGAAUGCCCAUAGGACCAUAGCUCCCUCACCUGGUUCUUUCAAGAAAUGAGACAAAUUCAGGGAUGGUUGGAGGGUGGAACGCCUACCUGUGACAUGACUAUUGAGCCUGAUUUCUUUCCUUUUAUCUCUUUAAAGUGAGUCAGGUCUUAACUUUAAACUGUCUCUAAAGUGGCAAUAACUGGGCCAUGUCAAAUACUCCCAAUGACAAAAUUUCUUCUUGGAGAAUGAAUGAGGGUUGCAUACAGUGGUGUGUUGGUAAAUGUUUAGCAACUGGCUCUCUUACUGAUUUCUGUAGUGUAAAUUCUCCCAUCCUGGCCAUCUGAAACUACCAAUAUGAUGUCACUUGAUGUAGAGUUGGGAAAAGACAGUCUCUUGAAUAAGUAUGAGCUGGUUCCAGCCCACUGCUGAACACAUAUUUAAAAGCUACAAUAGCUCUGCUCACUGCCAUUGCAGAGUCUGGAGGAAAGAGUAGCAGGCUUGAUAGGAGCAAUUGGCUGAAUAAUCUUUUGCAAUGCCAAUAAAUAAUGAAAAAGUAUAUAAAUAUAACGCUGUAUAGAAAGCUCUCAAGUUCAGUGUUUGGUUAAAAUACAUACUCAGUAAAUGGUAGCUAUUAUUGUCUUAGUUUAAGUUAUUGCAAGCAUUAAAAUUAAAUGUUUAGCUACAGACUCAAUCCAGUUUUAAUGUCAUUGUGUUAAUAAGGCCUCUUAACAUUGAAGCAACAAAGAUAAAGGAAUUUUUUUGUAGCUAUUCACGAUUCUGCCCAGCUCAAGGUAAAGAUAGCAACAAAAUACUCCAACCAGAAUAAAAGAAGUCUCCACUUGACUGCAGCUCUUCGCAACACUUCACAAGGGUCAAGCUGUGUUAGUUUCCUUCAGUGUUAAACAGAAUGCAUCUUAAGAGAAUAGUUCAAUUAUUGAUUGAAUAGUAGGUUCAAGUUGACUAUAAUCCCAACUAAUACACUCUAAGACCAGGGAUGGGCCGACAGAAGGGUAAAGUUUUCCACUCAAGUCUCGAGGCAAACACUCAGAUAGAAGUAGUAAUAUGGAUGCCUUCUAUUAUUUGGUCACAUACAAUACUGUUCCAGCCCAGUUGUGCAAAACUGGUGAAAUAAAAGGCAAAAAUAUUGACAACAGUUUGGGUAACUGGAUUCCAAAAUGGGCAUCCAUCUAAGAGAAAUUAAUGAAAAAAAAGCAUAUGGACCUUGAAAUACAUUAAUACACAGUUUAGGUUUAAACACUCAGUUUUUAUUAGAAAAGACUAACUUAUCCUGUUUUGAACACUACAAAAGUGCUUUCUGAACCAUUUACUCUCAAACCUCCUCCACCCAUUCCCCUCCAUCUAUAACGCUUUCUGCACAUCUGUAAAAGGUAUGACUUAGUGUUUGGUCUGUGAAAUAAGGUUAAAAAGGAAGCAUUUCUUUUUACAUUCUAGCUAAUGUUGAUAUUUUUCUCAUGCUUCUAUUAGCACAUAAUUCAGAUACAUUAGUUUUGAAGUUUUGAAUCUUCUCUGCUUCUUGAGGGCUCUCUGUUCUAGAUCAACAUGAUCUGUGGAACACCAGCCAAGUCCUGGGCAGAACCCUCCCCGUUGUCCAAAUAUUACUGAAUCAGUUGAGUUUUCUCUGUUGUCAAUGAAUUAUUCCACAUGUUUCUUUGGCUACAUUUUUUUUGGCUUUCUGUUCACAGUAAAUAUAGCCUUUGUUUUUAAAAACUUCUAUUAUGAAAAUUCCAAAUAUAUGCAAAUUAGAGAGAAUAGCAUAAUGAACCUCUAUGUGCUUAUCACACAUAUAGGUUCAACUAAUUAAAUUAUAUCAAUUUAUGGCCAAUCUGGUUUCAUUUAUAACAUCAUUCGCUCAUUCCUAACUCCCUGGAUUAUUUGAUUGACAUGUUUCUAAAGUUCCUUUUAAUCUGUAGGUUCCCCCUCUCAUUUAAUCUUUUGCAACUUAUUCAUUGAUGAAACUGGGUUAUUUGUCCUUUAUUGUUUCUCUCAUUCUGAAAUAUGCUGUAAUGUCAUUAACCAUAUUCUUCUUUCCUGUAUUUUCUGUAAGCUUUGAGCUAGGCAGAAAUAUUUUAAUCAGAUUCCUUUUUUUUUCUUUUAGCAAGAUUUCUUCAUAAAUAAUAUUGUAUGUGUUCAUGAAAAUAGAAAUAAAAAUAGAAAUAAAGAAGAAAUAACAGAAAA